GGUACCAUAAAAACAGAUUGGUAUCAAAAACCAACUUUUUCAGAACGCAUUUUAAAUUAUUUUUCAGAACAUCCUAUGACACACAAAAUAAAUGUAAUAAAAAACCUAAAACAUCGGUGCUUGAGACUUUCUAGUCCAGAAUAUCAUAAAAAAAACCUUCAUUAUGUUCAGACAAUUUUAAAGAAAAACAACUACCCCCUAUCAAUUAUUAAAAAAAUAAUUAACGACACCGAGAACAUUACUCAAAAUAUUACACGAAACAAUGAAAAUAAUCAAUUGGCUUAUUUCAAGAUUCCUUACAUUAACACACUUUCUCAUAAAAUUAAAAAGACCAUACAAUCAAAAUCUGAUGUUAUUAAAAUCUCAGAAAGAAGUGAAAACUCGGGCCCUGAUGAAGCAAUAAAAUUAUUGCGAAACGUUGGCCAGUACAUAAAGUGACGUUUGUUUUUAUUCCUUCGAUCCCAUCCCACAACUAAACUCAAGAUUUCAAACCUAUAGGAUUGCAACUAGAAUAUAUUAUUAGAGUUAGUACGGCCAGCAAUUAUGAAACAAAAUACAGUAAUGAGAGAUGCAAUUAGUGCGGAAGAAAGAUUAACUGUUACUUUGAGAUAUUUGGCUACUGGAAAUUCCUAUGAAGACCUUAAAUUCAGUACAGCUAUAUCACCUCAGUCCAUAGGUCAAAUCGUUCGUGAAACCUGCCGAGCUAUUUAUGAAUCACUAAAAAGAGAAUACUUGAAGGUCCCAUCGCAUGAACAAGAGUGGCAACAAGUUGCAGAUGAUUUUAAACAGAUGUGGCAAUUCGACAACUGCUUGGGAGCGAUGGACGGAAAGCAUAUCACUAUUAAAAAACCAGCCAAAAGUGGAUCAUUUUAUUUUAACUACAAAGGUACUUUUAGCGUUGUGUUAUUUGCAAUUGUCAAUGCAAAUUGCGAGUUUUUAUAUGUUCACACGGGUACCAAUGGACGGGUAUCAGAUGGAGGAAUAUGGAGUCAAACAGGAAUUUACAAACGUUUAAUGUCAAACAAGUUAAAUAUACCGAAAGAAACUAAACUUUCUGGCAGUAAUGACUUAUGUUUUUAUUGGAGAUGAAGCAUUUCCGCUAAUGAAGAAUUUAUUGAAGCCAUACCCGCAGAGAGGAAUAACUCAUGCUGAAAAAAUGUUCAACUAUCGCCUUUGCAGAGCCCGCCGAGUUGUCGAAAACGUGUUUGGCAUCCUAGCAUCACGUUUUAGAGUUUUUUUACAACCUAUUGCUACAAGUGUUGAAACAGUAGAUGAUAUCGUCCUUGCGUGCUGUGCACUUCACAACUUUUUGAGGAGGUUAUCGAAGAAAAGCUACAUAACAGAAGCAACUGUAGAUUUUGAAGACACAAUCAGUGGCGCGGUUGUGCUGGGGGAAUAGAGACAAACUACUAAUUUACUAAAUCUGGAAAAAAUUGCAGCAAAAAAUUCAAGUAAUGCCUCAAAAAAAGUAAGAUUCUUAUAAAAACUUUUUCAAUACUAAUGGAAAAACUACAUUCCAAGA